AUGCAGUCCACCAAACAACAUUUGUUGUAUAUGCUUUGGAAGAAGCUUGUACAGUUUGGGAAGGGGGUUUUUGAGAGAAAAGAAAAAUCUACUUCAACCGAUAUGCCCUUAGGCACGGCCAUGCAUAACAUAGAAAUCACACGUGGAAGGGGUGGGCAAUUAGCUAGAGCAGCAGGUGCUGUAGCGAAACUCAUUGCAAAAGAGGGUAAAUCGGCCACUUUAAGAUUAGCAUCUCUAAUGCAACAAUAUCAUACAGUCUACCAAACACACAUCUCAACCAAUCUCUGCAUCAGCUCAACCAGGCCACGCUCAUCCAGGAUCCCCCAUGCGAUGCAGGCUAGAGUCACCCAGGCAACCAAACACGCCCUAGGAAUUUGGGUUUAG
rnacentral:rRNA from 1 species